UACGUAGGCAGCGAGCGUUGUUCGGAGUUACUGGGCGUAAAGGGUGUGUAGGCGGUUCUUUAAGUUUGGUGUGAAAUCUCCCGGCUCAACCGGGAGGGUGCGCCGAAUACUGAGGGACUAGAGUGCGGGAGAGGAAAGUGGAAUUCCUGGUGUAGCGGUGAAAUGCGUAGAUAUCAGGAGGAACACCGGUGGUGUAGACGGCUUUCUGGACCGUAACUGACGCUGAGACACGAAAGCGUGGGUAGCGAACAGG
rnacentral:rRNA from 1 species